UACAGAGGGGGCAAGCGUUAUUCGGAAUUAUUGGGCGUAAAGGGCGCGUAGGCGGCCUGGCAAGUGGAAGGUGAAAUCCCUCGGCUUAACCGAGGAACUGCCCUCCAAACUGCUUGGCUUGAGACCGGGAGAGGUGAGUGGAAUUCCCAGUGUAGCGGUGAAAUGCGUAGAUAUUGGGAGGAACACCAGUGGCGAAGGCGGCUCACUGGACUGGUACUGACGCUGAGGCGCGAAAGCGUGGGGAGCAAACGGG
rnacentral:rRNA from 1 species